ensembl:lncRNA
CCUCAAAAUGUCUUGGACCUCCUGCUGUAGGAGGAGCGAGCUUCCUAACAGAUGCACUGGGUGGAGUGCCAUUCAGCUUUCAACCACCAGACCACAACUAGCAGCUGAUAAAGGCAGAAAUGGGUCAAGAUGAUGCUACCUGGUGCUUCAGCAGAACUUUUUACACCAGGGUUUCCUGAGGAGAAAUGGAUUAGGCAAUUACACAGCUGAGGCUGGGCUCUAUCUCCUAAGCCUGUUAGCUUUGCCUGUGCACAGGUUUCUGCAGAUAAGUGACCAUUCUUCUUUCUCUCACCUAGUGCUCUUUCAGACAGCUGUGGAGGUAAAAAAAAAAGCAAAUUGCUUGGCAGUGGGCAGAAACGAGUAAGUGCGUCUAUGCCGUCUAGAUUUGUCUGCAUGCCAACAGGAAGUGAAGUCUUAAUGGCGUCUCUCUGUUUAUCUUGUCCCCUGGCCUAUUGAGACCAAUUACCAUGACCAGCCGAGCCUGACAAGGAGAUUUCAUGCAUCAGGGGGCCAGGAAGUCAAAGGUUUCCUGUAUUUUGGGGUAAAGAAAUGAUUCGCCGCCACAAGAAACAGAAGAAAACAGGAGUAGGGAUGGAAUUGGAGACAAAGCAAGACAGUGGUCUUGUCUCUGCUUUUAUCCUUACUUAUUUCAGACAUGAGGUGCGCUUGGAAGAGCAGAGCAGGAAUGCCUACAUCUGGCUGAGAGGAAGCCCUGAGAGUUUAGAAGUAAGGUGAUUAUGUCUGUCUGACGACGACUAAAGCUUUGGCCUGUUCCCUGAUGGAGCACUGCAGGGGAAUCCAGCUUUGAUAAUCACACUGCAAACAGGAAUCAGACGGAAAGCUGUUCUGUCCCUCAAAGCCUGUUAGGCCAGACCACCAUGUGUGAGGACAAGACAAGCACAUCCAGGUCCAUCUAUCUCAUUCAAACACAUAUGGACACAUUUUAGUCAUCUGUUGAGUUUUCAAACAUUUAUGGGGCAGUUUGCUAACAAAGAAAUGAGGAGACUGAUAGUAAAUAAAUAAAUGUAAUAACUAACUGAAAUAAAAAAGUGUAGGUUAAAAUAUUAUUAAAACUGAAUAAUAAUUUAAAGCUAAAUAGAAAUGAUAAAAAUAUGUAUAUAAAUGUUACAAAUGCACAUAACAAAGUCAUUAAAACUUAAUAUGGAUAUGAAAAUGAAAUUCUAAUUAAAGGCCAUUCAGAAUAAUUUUUUAAUGAAUAAAUACUAUAAUAUUAUUUACACAAUACUAAAAAAAUGUAAAUGUAAAAUGUAAAUUUUGCAAUGUAAAAAAAAAGAAAAAGAGAAAAAGUAAAGAACCGAGAAGGUUCACAGUGGAAUGGGAGAGAACCACAGAUAUAUAUUUUGCAAAUCAGGCUUAAAAUCCUCUAGUGUGUGGCCCCCCCUUAGUAAGAGAAAAAUGCAGCUCUUCUGAGCUGUUAAAUGUCAUUUGAAUCAUGUUUGAUUACUGAUUCUCUCUCAUCAGUUCGUCCCAGAGCUCUGCCUCUCAUCUGAUGCCACUACUUCAAAACAUUUUGGGUGAUAAAAUAUUGAUUUUGGAAAUUCAAGGGAAAGCAAGGGGUGGAGGUGUUGUUUGCACUUCAUAACUCAACAUGAUGGACAAAUGAUUGCAUUUUUUUAUCUCCUCUCCCAUGAGUAGUGUGAAAAAUGGCUGUCUUCUAGGGGUGCAUUAGUUUCAUACUGUAGUGUUAUUUAUUUCCAUUUUGCCUGAAGAACUGUCAAAAUGGCACCUAACUAUUCAAAGAGUGCCAGGUGCUGUAAAUGAAUGAAGGCCUCCGUAAGGACAAAACUUCUGUGAUAUUUAGAGUAGCCCAAUAGGAAAGGUAUCUGACAGGAUGACCAUUAUCCGUAAGUUAACUUAUAACUUGCUAAGGACUGUUAAAAAAUAAAUAAAUAAAUGUUCUCCUGAAUGUGAAUGAAGAGGAGUCAGCUAUUAGUCUACCAAAAAAAAAAUUAAAUGCCAAUAAAAUACUGGGUAAAUUAAUAUCAUCUUGGCUGCCAUAUUGGUUUUUCUUUUCUGAAUUAAUUUUUUUAGAGAUCCAAUCCACAGUAUCUCAACCACAUACUGGAUCAGCUGAAAUGUACAAUCACACUCUCACUGACUCUAAUAUAAAAUGCUGAACCUGGCAACACACACUGUGCAAAAUAUCAACACACUCGGGCAUGUAAUGUGUGUUUGCAUAGUGCACUAGCAGUUUGCUGUCAGAUCCAUCUAAUGAUUUUUUCAUAGCUGUAAAGUAGCAAAUCAGAUUGUGAAGUAAAGAAGGCAGAGAGAGGGUGUCAGGCAUGGCAAGGGCAACUCUCAGAGUGAUUCGGAAAAGUGACGCCCAUAAAUCAUGCCAGACAUAUGCAGCAAAGUGGAUCUUAAGUCUGCAUCUACAGUGAGCCUCAAUUUAGAUGGAGAACUAUAGUGAACAAACAGAUGUGGAUUUCAUUUCAGGCAGCCCAGCACUGAGAGGGUUGAUAAGAAUGCAGUGCUUUUAAGAGCUUGGCUAUCAGAGAAUUUUAGACGCUACACUUCCCUACGGUAAAGUAAAUAAGACUCCGUCUGGCACAAGUUAGGUGGAGCAUUUUGUUAAUGGAAUCAAGCUGCUUCUAUUUUCGAACCAAAAUUACUGUGAAAUAGCACCAGUUCUUAACAAAAGUUCUGACAAGUGCCAUGUUGUCAUUUUAUAUAAUUUUUACAUUGCAGUUGUUUUGGGUUUCAUAAUGA